CCGUAGAGGAGAAUAACUCACAGAGAAGGGCAGUGGGAAUAUUCCAGGCCAGGGUCUUGGAAACCACCUUAGUCACCUUCUUCAGCAUCCCCUGGUCAGAGGAUUCAGCAGCUCCCAAGCAAGUGCCCAGACAGUGGGGUGUCCCAGUGAACUGAAAGUACCCAUCCCUAAGACAGUGGAUGGUGCCGUUUGAACAGCGUCACUCUUGCGUGGUCAGCUCGGGCUGAUGUGACCAAUUCCACAGACGACCGGGAUAACCGAUUCCACAGACCGGGAUAACCAAUUCCACAGAUCGGGGGGCUUAAACCACAGAAAGGCAUUUCCUUAUGAUUCUGGAACCUGGAAGUUCACAAUCAAGUGAGGAGCAAGAAAUGAAAGCCAGCAUCUGCGUGUCACCUGCAGAGCGCCCUGCAGCUGGUCCUCUCAUUUGCCCUCCAAGUCAGCUCACAGGCUCAGCCUUAACACGAGGAAAGAGCUCCAAGGAGUUAAGAGACAUACACUGACUGUUCUCUCCUUCUGGAACUUUCUCCCUUCCCAUGGGCGCCCACAGCCCCCGGGCUUCCCUGUCAUAACUCUCGUCAUUGCCACCUGCUCCUCGUGGGCCUCCCCCAAGGCUGUGAGCUCCAGAGAGCAGGGUGGUGUCUCUCUUUCUCGCAUCUCUAUUUACAGCAUCCAGCAUAGAGCCUGGCCUCAGAAACCCUCCAAGUGCUUGUUUGUAGCAGACCAUUGUGUGGCUAUGCCCUGAAUCAGAGCUGGAAUUCACCCAAAGGAAAACAGAAAAGAUUCUUUUAGGUGACGUGGGUUUCAAAUAAUUUGAUACGGAAACUUCAGGGAAGUCAUGGGAGAAAUUAGAAUUCUGGACAUCCUUAUGACUAUUUUAAUUCAAUUUCAAUUCAUUUCCACAAACAUUUUUCUCAUGCCUGCUCUGUGCUAGGCACUGCUGAACAAACGGAACAAAAAAUCCACCCUUAUGCAGCUUACAUUCUAAUGGAGAAACAGAAAUGAUACAACAAAGUAAAUAAACAAGUUAUGUGGCAUUUUAGUAGUAAGCACCAUGGAGAAAAAAAUAAAGUGAAGAAAUAGCAAAAGCCACUGCAGAGGCUGCAGGUGGGACUAAGAGUGAAGAGGUGAGUGAGUCAUAUGGGUGUCUGAGGGAACCUGCUCCAGGCAGAGGGAGUGACAAGUGCAAACGCCCUGGGGCAGGAACUGCAAGGAAGUCAGCAAGGCUGGAGUUGCGUGAGCAAUGAAAGAAAGAAAAGAAAGAAGAUUCGUCCAGAGAGGCAAGACUCGGAGGUCUUUGUAGUCCUGCGUAGGCCAUUGUAAAGCCUUUGGUGUUUUACUUUGAGUGAAAUGGGGAGGACUUCACAAAUAAUAGGAUUUAUUUUCAGUCAUAGUGGGAUUUUAUUUGAGGGGGCGGGUUGAAUAGUUGAAUAGCCACCAUAUCUUCCUGUGCCCCCAAACCUGGCUUGAACCCAAGUGCAACUAACGACAAACGUAGUGCCCACUCCGGAACCCAUGCCUCCAAGAAGGGAGAGGCAAGAGAGGAAGAGGCCCUCCACUUUGAAGCCUGAGCCCCGGGCCACGGUGGAGAGAGCUCUGAGCAGCUCUAUGAGGGAGUGUGCGGCCCUCUUGGUGACUUAGCCUCCACAGUGCCAGGAAUGUGGUGUCUGCCACCAGACCGCUAUUGUGAAUUGAAUGGGGAAAAGGUAAAGGGAGAAAUGCAACCCCCAGGGCUGGGGCUGUGCAGCCUGCAGGUUGCGCAAUAGACUCUGCUGGCCUCAGGCCUGGCUCUCCACAAUCUGGUCCCCUCCCCACGCCCUCAGCAAGCCUCUGGGUCACAGGACUAAAAAGCUGCUUCCAAUUAGAUUCACUGAACCCCUUGGGCCCUAGAGGGAGGAACUCGACAGGAGCCAUUGCUCUGGGUGUAGGGAGGAAGAGGAGGAGGUGAUCAGGGAGGUGAGGUGGGAGGAUCAGGCAAGCACCUAAUCACUGCUUGCCUGGGUGCUCACCGCUCCCAAGCAGUGCUGCAGGCUGGUGUGAAGAGAGUGACCCGGGAAGCUCCAAGACCCAGAUUUAAACUCAGUUAUGACGUUUCCAUGAGUGUCAUGACUGAGCAAGAAGGUGAAGAGCCCGCGCCUGUUUCCUCAUCUGCGGAACGGAGCGAACACGCCACCUACUUCAUGAGACUUAACAGACGAUGGAAGUGGAGCAUUCAGCACAGAGCCUGGCACAUGGUGAGCGUACAUUAUGCAGCGGUUCCUUUUCUCAUCGCCCAGUCCACAAGGCUUCCUGUCUCCCUGUGUGCCCAGAUCUCGACAUGGCUCAGCAGGGCCGGGAGCGGGAGGCUUCUGAGCUCAGCCUGAGGGGAGACCUGGGCUGGCUGGGGGUCAAUGCAGGAACCAAAAUAGGAUGCAAGAAAGGAGAAGGCAAUCUACAGGACUGAGUGUCCUUCAAACUUGUUCACUUUCCCAUAGUGAGAAGUUCAUUUUUCACUCUGACUCAGCAUAAACACGUGCAUGUAUGUAACAUGGAGUUAAAAGCUUCAAGAAGCAAUACUGACUCAUGCUCUAGCUUCUAUUCUCUUCUAUUCCAUCAAAAAAUAUUAAAUGCUAGUCACAACCCAAACACAAGAUUUUUAAAGCUAACGAAAAGUCCAAGCCCGGGCCUGGAACACAGUUGGUCUCACGACUGGUCCCUCUCAGUCUGGGCCAGGGCUGUGUGGACCGACGGGUGAGCAGGUCCACAGGCAUUGUGACUAUUCUCUUCAAGUCUCCAGAAGGCCACCAAGAGGCAGAAGGGGCAGGAGGCAGCAGAGGCUGAGUGGGCAGAUGACGCCCUGAAGAACUGCUUCAGACCCUGUCCAGGACGGCCUUCUGCCCCACAGAGCCAGGUCAGGAGCAGUGGAGUGGGCACCCACGCUGGCUGUCUUCAGGCAGAGGCUAGAGGGCCAUCCACCAGGCCACCUGCACAAUGUGAACCUGACCUGGGAAGGGCCAAGGGCCUGGAGGACCUGAGAGAGGCCAUGUAGCAUGGUGGUCAGCACAGAGCUUCUACUACCAGGCUGCCCAAGCCAAUGGUCCAUGUCCUGGCGCCAUGGCCUCCCAGCUGGGCGGCUGAAGGCAAAUCAUUUACCUCUCUAUGCCCUAGUUUUCUCACUUGUAAAGUGGAGAUGACGAUCCUUCCUCAAAGAGCCCUGUAAGGACUGUGUAUGGAUGUGUGCAUCCUAGAACAGUGCCUGGCGCUGUUGUCAUUUUUAUGCCAAGUCAGAUGAAGGCGCUGACUGGCUGGAGGCCAGCCAGGUUGUGUGCCAACAAAUGCCAUAUGGCUUCGGGGCCCAGCUUUCUCUCUCCACAGCCUCCAACCGGUGAGCCAGGUUCUCCUUGAGAUUGGCAGGGGUGGGAGCAGCAUGGGUAUGUGCCCACCUGCCGCUGCCCUCAGCCAGGGCCCCUCGACAGACAUUCUCCACGGUUCAUUCAUCAUUUGCUUGCUGGCCAGGUUGAGCGGUGAAGGGGAGGAGCUUCGUUCUCUAGAUCACAGGAGCUUUCUCUGGGCUGCCGGAGUGCCCAGGCUAGGUGCUGCAAACUCCUGCAGCGAUUGCCAGUGAGAACUGAAGAUGACUGGGCUUCUGUGACGGCUGGGGACUUGGAAAACUUUUGUGUCUAGCUAAAGGAUUAUAAACGCACCAAUCAGCACUCUCUGUCUAGCUAAAGGUUUGUAAAUGCACCAAUCAGCACUCUGUGUUUAGCUAAGGGAGUGGGGACUUGGAGAACGUUUGUGUCUAGCUGAAGGAUUGUAACGCACCAAUCAGCACUCUGUGUCUAGCUAAAGGUUUGUAAACGCACCAAUCAGCUCUCUGUCAAAAUGGACCAAUCAGCUCUCUGUAAAAUGUACCAAUCAGCUCUCUGUAAAAUGGGCCAAUCAGCUCUCUAUAAAAUGGACCAAUCAGCAGGAUGUGGGUGGGGCCAGAUAAGGGAAUAAAAGAGGGCCACCUGAGUCAGCAGUGGCAACCUGGUCGGUUCUAUUUCCCUGUUUUGGGAUGUCUGUGUUUUUCCUGUUUGCAAUAAAUCUUGUUGCUGUUCUCUG